rnacentral:rRNA from 2 species
GCAAGUCGAACGAACUUCCGUUAAUUGAUUAUGACGUGCUUGCACUGAAUGAGAUUUUAACACGAAGUGAGUGGCGGACGGGUGAGUAACACGUGGGUAACCUGCCCAGAAGCAGGGGAUAACACCUGGAAACAGAUGCUAAUACCGUAUAACAGAGAAAACCGCCUGGUUUUCUUUUAAAAGAUGGCUCUGCUAUCACUUCUGGAUGGACCCGCGGCGCAUUAGCUGGUUGGUGAGGUAACGGCUCACCAAGGCGAUGAUGCGUAGCCGACCUGAGAGGGUAAUCGGCCACAUUGGGACUGAGACACGGCCCAGACUCCUACGGGAGGCAGCAGUAGGGAAUCUUCCACAAUGGACGCAAGUCUGAUGGAGCAACGCCGCGUGAGUGAAGAAGGGUUUCGGCUCGUAAAGCUCUGUUGUUAAAGAAGAACGUGGGUGAGAGUAACUGUUCACCCAGUGACGGUAUUUAACCAGAAAGCCACGGCUAACUACGUGCCAGCAGCCGCGGUAAUACGUAGGUGGCAAGCGUUAUCCGGAUUUAUUGGGCGUAAAGCGAGCGCAGGCGGUCUUUUAAGUCUAAUGUGAAAGCCUUCGGCUCAACCGAAGAAGUGCAUUGGAAAACUGGGA